CCCGGGAGGGGAGUGAAAUAGAUCCUGAAACCGUGUGCAUACAAACAGUCGGAGCCUCUUCGUGGGGUGACGGCGUACCUUUUGUAUAAUGGGUCAGCGACUUACAUUCAGUAGCAAGGUUAACCGUAUAGGGGAGCCGUAGAGAAAUCGAGUCUUAAUAGGGCGUUCAGUUGCUGGGUGUAGACCCGAAACCGGGUGAUCUAUCCAUGAGCAGGUUGAAGGUUGGGUAACACUAACUGGAGGACCGAACCGACUACCGUUGAAAA
rnacentral:rRNA from 15 species